rnacentral:rRNA from 1 species
GAUGAACGCUGGCGGCGUGCCUAAUACAUGCAAGUCGAGCGAACGGACGCGAAGCUUCCUUUCCUGAUGUUAGCGGCGGACGGGUGAGUAACACGUGGAUAACCUCCCUAUACGACUGGGAUAACUUCGGGAAACCGGAGCUAAUACCGGAUAAUAUUUUGAACCGCAUUGUUCAAAAGUGAAAGACGGUCUUGCUGUCACUUAUAGAUGGAUCCGCGCUGCAUUAGCUAGUUGGUAAGGUAACGGAUUACCACGGCAACGAUGCAUAGCCGACCCGAGAGGGUGAGGCGCAACACUGGAACGGAGACACGGUCCAGACUCCUACGGGAGGCAGCAGAAGGGAAGCGUCUGCAAUGGGCGAAAGCCAGACGGAGCAACGCCGCGUGAGGGAUGAAGGUCUUCGGAUCGUGAAACACUGUUAUGAGGGAAGAACAGAUGUGAAAGUAUAUGUGCACAUCUUGACGGUACCUAAUCAGAAAGCCACGGCUAACUACGUG